rnacentral:rRNA from 1 species
GAUGAACGCUGGCGGCGUGCCUAAUACAUGCAAGUCGAGCGAACAGACGAGAGUGCUUGCACUCUCUGACGUUGGCGGCGGACGGGUGAGUAACACGUGGGUAACCUACCUAUAAGACUGGGAUAACUUCGGGAAACCGGAGCUAAUACCGGAUAAUAUUUAGCUUCGCAUGAAGUAAUAGUGAAAGACGGUUCUGCUGUCACUUAUAGAUGGACCCGCGGUGUAUUAGCUAGUUGGUGAGGUAACGGCUCACCAAGGCAACGAUACAUAGCCGACCUGAGAGGGUGAUCGGCCACACUGGGACUGAGACACGGCCCAGACUCCUACGGGAGGCAGCAGUAGGGAAUCUUCCGCAAUGGACGAAAGUCUGACGGAGCAAUGCCGCGUGAGUGAAGAAGGUUUUCGGAUCGUAAAACUCUGUUGUAAGGGAAGAACAAGUACGUUAGUAACUGAACGUACCUUGACGGUACCUUACCAGAAAGCCACGGCUAACUACGUG